rnacentral:lncRNA from 1 species
CUCACUGUCGUAUGUUCCUCUUCUCUCUCAAAUGCUCUUAACCUAAACUCUAAUCUUUAAACGUCGUGACUCACCUACUGCUCUCUUAUAGUGGUUCUUAACCACCCCAGGCUUCUAAUGGCCUCUUUAUUGCUAUGUCGCUUCCAUUUUUGGAUCCUUGAAGAGAUCCUCAUGGGACCUAGGCAGUCUGUUACGCCUUGGGCGUUCUUGCUGGUUUCAUGCUAUUUAGCUUGAUCUUGAGUGAGAUCUUUCUUAUUUUAUCGUCUUGGAUCUGUGGUUUUCUAAGUAUGUGCAUG